GGAUUAGAUACCCUGGUAGUCCAUGCCCUAAACGAUGUGUACUAGAUCGUGGGGGUUUUGACGCCAUCACGGUCGAAGCUAACGUGUUAAGUACACCGCCUGGGGAGUACGGUCGCAAGGCUAAAACUCAAAGGAAUUGACGGGGGCUCACACAAGCGGUGGAGCAUGUGGCUUAAUUCGAAACAACGCGAAGAACCUUAUCCAGGGCUUGACAUCCACGGAUUAGCUUCCCGAAAAGGAAGUGACGAGUUUUACUUGGAACGUGGACAGGUGCUGCAUGGCUGUCGUCAGCUCGUGCCG
rnacentral:rRNA from 1 species